UACGUAGGGGGCUAGCGUUGUCCGGAAUCAUUGGGCGUAAAGAGCGUGUAGGCGGUCCGGUAAGUCCGCUGUGAAAGUCGGGGGCUCAACCCUCGAAAGCCGGUGGAUACUGUCGGGCUCGAGUGCGGAAGAGGCGAGUGGAAUUCCUGGUGUAGCGGUGAAAUGCGUAGAUAUCUGGAGGAACACCGGUGGCGAAGGCGGCAUCCUGGACCAAUAUUGACGCUGAGGAGCGAAAGCCAGGGGAGCAAACGGG
rnacentral:rRNA from 1 species